GGGAUAUUCUUCCCUGACUCGUGUGCGAAGCUGACAAGAUGUCGAUGCUCUCGGCGGCCGCGUUGUUGGAUGAGUUAAUGGGGGUCGAUAGAAAUCGAGCCCCCAAUGAAAAAAAGACUGCAUUGCAUUGGUCAGAUCCUCAGGUUUGCAAACACUUCCUUUGUGGAUUCUGCCCAUCUCAGCUUUUUGUCAAUACAAGAUCUGACCUGGGACCUUGUGAAAAGGCACACGAUGAAAGAUUGAGAAAAGAAUAUGAGGCAAGUAGUCGCUACAAAAAAAUGAGAUAUGAAGAAGAAUUUUUGAGGUAUCUCCAAAACAUUAUGGCUGACGUUGACAGACGAAUAAGAAGAGGGCAUGCCAGACUCAAUCUCAGCCGUGCCGAAGAAGAGAAGGAGUUGGCAAGUGGUAAGCCAGACAGUGAAAAAUUCAAAAUGCUUACUGAAAAGAUCAACUCAUUGCUAGAACAGGUUGAACAACUGGGCUGUGAAGGAAAGGUAGAAGAAGCUCAGGGUGUUAUGAAGUUGUGUGAUCAGCUGAAAAAUGAGCGAGAAAUGCUACAGAUGCAAUCACGUGAUCUCAAUUUGAUGUCUGCUCAAGAAAAGCAGAUGGAAGUUUGUGAAGUUUGUGGUGCCUUUCUUAUCAUUGGUGAUGCACAGACGCGUGUAGAUGAUCACUUGCAAGGGAAGCAGCAUAUGGGUUAUGCCAAGAUCAAGAGUACUAUUGAGGAACUUAAGCAAAAGCGAAGUGAGAAAUCUCGUUCAAAAUCCAGAGACAUUGUGGAGAAAGAUGCAGAUGGUGAUAAAAAGCUGGAUAGGGAUUCAGAACGAAGCCGUGACAGUGACCGUGACCGCAGGAAAGACCGUGAUAGAGAUCGUGACCGCAGGAGGGAUCGUGACAGGGACCGUGAACGUGACAGAGACCGUAAUCGUGAUAGGGACCGUGAUCGUCGAAGGGAUCGUGACAGAGAUCGUGAUCGUGACAGAGACCGUGAUCGUGACAGGGAUCGUGAUCGGGACAGGGAUCGUGAUCGGGACAGGGACCGUGACCGCGAUCGUGACAGGGACCGUGACCGUGAAAAGGACCGUGAUCGGGAUAGAGACCGCCGUCGCGAUAAGGACCGUGAUCGCGACAGGGAACGAGAUCGAGACAGAGAUCGGGAACGAUCAAAAGAGAAGGAGAGGCGGCGAGACAAGGAUGACAAAAAAGACAGAAGUGAAGACAGAAACGACGAAAAGGACAGUGACAAUGACUUGGAAGACGAGAAAAAAGCUGCAGUCGACAAGAUGGCUGAAGAAAAAGAAGGCUCGGAUAGGGAGGAGAAAGAUAAGUCCGUCAGGUCUCGUAGCAGGUGAGUGUUCACUCUUGAGGUCAUAUCAUAAUUAUGUGACGAGGAAUGAUGAUAUCGCUGAUAGCAAGGUUUGUUUCAAACUCUGUAAGACGUUUUUGUGGUAAGGGUAGCGAGUCUGGCUGUUUAUGUGCCGUGAGCUGUCAGUAAACAGCUCGGUGACCAUGUCUAUCAUGGCGUAUAUUGGAGGAUCGCAACCUAAGCAGCAUUCAAAGCUACAUCACAGCAGAACGGAACAACAAAGAUUGAGGUACCUCAUUCUGUUUUGAUUAUUCAAUUUCACUCUCCUCAAUUCAUUGUUUGUGCUGAGUGAUGGCAGCAGAUAUCAGCCGGCAGUCGCCAAGAUAACUGGAAACGCAAGGUACACGUUCAAAGAUUUCCACAUUGUUCUUUGUGUUAUGUUGAAUAUUGCUUUCAAUCAAGCUCAUCAACCAAGGAUCUACCUGUAAGGUAAUUUUUGAUGUUUUUGAAAAUAAAAUUGUCGUCUUCUUCCUCAUGCUGAGGUGAAAUCGAAUUAAAACUUUGACCGUCACUAAAAAGGAUCAACCUUCGGACAAGUGUCGUUUUCGCCUCUCAAAUCGAGUGGCAAACGUUGCAAUUUAAGACAUACUUUCUUUUGUCCAUCGAGACAAACGUUUCUGUAAAAGGCCAUGGAAAGUGGAGCCGUCGCCACAGCACCGGAAUUCAAGGUACCCGAUUGUUGUCGCUUUCUGUGUCGAUUUUGGUCAGGCUUCAGUUUAUCGUAUUAAACCAACUUACGUUUCCAGUGAAUCAGUCAGUAUCCUGUUACAAGGAGAUCAAUUGUUUCAUUGGCCGCUCUCAACAGGCGGAACAGCCUCUCAGGUAGCCUUGUGUGAAAAAGUCGUCAACUUGUAAGAGGUCACGUGAGAAAGACGACGGACGUGAAAAUACUGAGUCCUCGCCCCGCAAGAGCAGAUCACGAUCCAGGUCCCCAUUGUAGUGCAC